GACGUGGUGUCCUAAUGGUUAGCGCGCUGGACUCUGGAUCGAGCGGUCCGGGUUCGAGCCCUGGCCAGGGUCA